ACUCAAAGGAAUUGACGGGGGCCCGCACAAGCGGUGGAGCAUGUGGUUCAAUUCGACGCAACGCGAAGAACCUUACCUGGGCUCGAAGCGCAGUGGACCGGGGUGGAAACAUCCCUUUCCGCAAGGACCGCUGCGGAGGUGCUGCAUGGCUGUCGUCAGCUCGUGUCGUGAGAUGUUGGGUUAAGUCCCGCAACGAGCGCAACCCUUAUCGCUAGUUGCCAGCGGGUCAAGCCGGGCACUCUAGCGAAACUGCCUCGGAUAACGGGGAGGAAGGUGGGGAUGACGUCAAGUCCUCAUGGCCUUUAUGUCCAGGGCUACACACGUGCUACAAUGCGCGGUACAAACCGUCGCAAACCCGCGAGGGGGAGCUAAUCGGAAAAAGCCGCGCUCAGUUCGGAUUGGAGUCUGCAACCCGACUCCAUGAAGCUGGAAUCGCUAGUAAUCGCAGAUCAGAACGCUGCGGUGAAUACGUUCCCGGGCCUUGUACACACCGCCCGU
rnacentral:rRNA from 1 species